GAUGAACGCUGGCGGCGUGCCUAACACAUGCAAGUCGAGCGAACAGACGAGGAGCUUGCUCCUCUGACGUUAGCGGCGGACGGGUGAGUAACACGUGGAUAACCUACCUAUCAGACUGGGAUAACUUCGGGACACCGGAGCUAAUACCGGAUAAUAUAUUGAACCGCAUGGUUCAAUAGUGAAAGACGGUUUUGCUGUCACUUAUAGAUGGAUCUGCGCGGCAUUAGAUAGUUGGUAAGGUAACGGCCUACCAGGGCAAGGAGGCGUAGCCGAACGGAGAGGGUGGUCGGCCGCCUGGGAGGUGGGACGGGGACAAGGGGCCUGCGGUAGGCAGCAGUAGGGUAUCUUCGGCAAUAGGGGGGAGCUUGGCGCAGCAGGGCCGCGCGAGUGAUGGAGACGUCGGGUGCGGAAAGCUCGGUUAUUAGGGAAGAACAAAUGUGGAAGGAGCUGAGCACGUCGUGACGGUACCUAAUCAAAAAGCCACGGCUAACUACGUG
rnacentral:rRNA from 1 species